UUUGGUUCUAGUACAUACUGCAAGCAUUCUAGCAAGCUGGUUUCUACUUUCCAUGCAUGAAUUUCAUAAGAUAAUGCUUAGAGUAGAUUGUAAGCAGAACUAAACCUGUAAUUUACAAUAGUAAACAAGAACUAAAAAGCAGAGUUCAUUCAACUAUUGUUAGAAACCCAAAUAACCUUGCUUUUGAUUGUUUACAGCAGAAAUGAAGACGGCAUCUGUUACCCUAUUUAUGCAAUAGCAUUCACAUAAAGAUUUUACACAUUCAUUUUUAACAAAUAAGAGGUAUAGUAAGAGGAGAUACAGGCAGGCUGAUGCUAUGUUUGUAUCACUUUAUAAAUUAAUUCUUCAUGAUACAUAAGGUUAUUUGAAGGAUAGCAAAAAAAUAAUAAACAACAUGGAAAAAACCCCUGUUUCCUCUCUGAAACAUUUACUUCUAUUUUCAUAACAGUGUUUAAACCAUACUAAGCACCCCAAAAUGAAUGGUCUUGCUACGUCUCUGGGAUCUCCUUGGCAAAGCCAAUAGGAGAGUUAAUCUGCAUGUUAGUGGUGCUGUUCAGAAAGUUGAUUUCUACAAUAUUUUAGUGCUGUUUAACAACAGCGUUAUUAAGAAAGAAAUAGAGCCGAGUUGCAACAGCAUCCUUAUUUUUCACUUUUUUAAAAAAAGCAUUUAAGUAUAACUGGUCUUAUUUAUUUAAGAUUAACAUUUAUGGUAUCUAUAACACACUGGUGCACAUAACAUGAUUUGAGCAGGUCUUGCAUGAAUUUUUCUGUAGCUUCACCUUUUGGUCUUUCUGCUUCCAAGUUCAGUAAUAACAGAAGACUGUGAGAGCCCUCUCCUGGUGAACAAAAUUUAUCUCCCUCCAGCUGUUGCUUGCCAACCAGAGAUUCUGAGACAGAUAUUCCAGCUGUAAAAGAAGAUAGUGCUUAGAAUGUACUCUCAUGGUUUUUUAAUUUAUUAAUACUUAAGUGUAAAAAGUCACAAAACAAAGGCUUUAUUUUCCAAAUACCACCUUACAAAGUGAAGCAGAAAGUCAAGGAAAAUACUUCUCAAAAACCUGCUAUCUGCAAAGAAAUACUAGCUUCAAUAUACUUUCACACCAGUACAUAUUUUGCAUGGUUAAGAUUGACAUCCAUCUGGAAUGCUUUAAAUAAAGCUACUUUAAAGACUUGUUCAUUAGUGAUAGGUAUUGAGAAGGUUGUACACACGGAGUCACUCCCCAGAUGAGGAAUGAAUGAGCGAGCAAAGUCUGAAAACCCCAUGGCAUCUAAAAGGAGCCCUGGGAUCCUCUGAGAUGGGCAGUGGAGAGGAAGGCUCUAGGCAGGAGCACCUUUUUUUUCUCCUGUGUAACCAAUCAGAGAUGGCCUGUGCUGGGUUCACAAGUUAUUCUUUCAUGCUACCAAAACUGAAUCAUUUUCUAGGCAUUCCCCUUCUCUUAUCACACUUAUGAGGUAGCCUGCCCAUAUUAUUCAGAAAGGGGACGAGCAUAUAUUAUACAUAAUAUCCUGUCAUGCACUUUUCCCUGUCUAUAGUUGCUGUUAUUAAAUUUUUCACUUUCCUUAAUACCUAUACAUGUAACAUGAUUUUGGCUUAUUCUCCUGCUGUGCCCUCCCCUUUCUCUGUAGCAAGCACUUAAUUUAGGUUGAAACACUGUCUCUUUCACUUGCAUAUGUUCUCCUCCUUAUCUACUUAGUUUGAUUUACUGUAUGAAUUUUAAGGACACUGUGUCUCUCUAUUCCAUCACUUUUGAGGUCUGAAAAGAAUUUUAAGUUCAAAAAAUCUUAAGUUCAAAUCAGACUAAGUCAAUGAACUACCAGACAUGCUUGAGUCCAGCUUACUAUCUAGAAAGCACCUCAGUUCAGAGGCACUGGCAGUUUAAGUAAUGUCAACAAAAUAAGAAUGCAUACAUGCUUAAAGCAAAGUUCCUAGUUUGAGAGCUUCAGAAUACACAGAGGCAACCAAGAGCCUUCCAUUGCUGUGGGAGCGAAGCAUUAGAGCAGUGAUCACACCCCCACGUCUCAGGGAGCAGAAGACUCCACACAGCAGUUUCACAAGUGUUUUUCUGGGGAGCAACGAUGGCCCAGGCAGCCUAAAAUGAACUCACUGAUAAUUUGCAUCAGUCAUCUCAGCUGAAAGCUGAGCUUUAUCCAGGCUGAAAGCAACCCAGAGAGGUUUAUGGGCCUGUUUUUCUGUGCACUAGCAUAAAAUGUGUUGCCUUAUCUGAAGAGUUUGCAUGGAGAUGGCAGAGGUUGGCUGUGUAGCAACUGCUAGUGGAAGAAAUGUUCAGAAAACAAGGAGUUUAAUAUACGUACUUUGCUCUUAAUGUUGACACAUGGUUGGUUAAGGUGUGGUGCGUAGUCAGUGUAGCGAACCAGAAAAGCUAUAUACAAAUGAAACUAUUACACACUGGAUAACUUUUAUGAUAGGCAAUUUUCAAUCAGUUAUAAAAACAAGUGUUUCACAAUGUAAAUUUUUCUGCUUGAAAAGAGAAGUUCUAAUUUUUAGCUAGCACACGGUUGUUCUCCUCAGCAAGAAGGAGGACACGAGCAGUGAGUUAUUAUGUUGAAGAACCUUCCAUGACUUCAGAGACAAGCACUCCCAGCUCAGCUUGAACUAUCACUGCUAUCUCUUGUAGAGCUCAAAGAAGCUGAAAUACAGUAAGGCCUCAUUAUUAAAAAGGAAAUGCAUUUAUAUAAAUAUGUAUCUUAGAUUCCCAUUUCAGAUGAUCUAAUACAAGAUCUCAUCUCCUCCGUUUCUUUUAGAGCAGCAAAGCACAUUAACCCUGCUAUUUCUAGCUUCAGCUAUAAGCUAGAAUCCAGUAUAGCCACAAGACAUAGGCGUCAACUGGGAGAAGUAAUGUUUGGAGGCAGAGUAGUGCUGGCCACUUUGAUCCCUAGGCUGCUACAGCUGAAAUGUGCUGUAAAGAUUCAAAGUGACAACUGGGAAAACACUUUUAUAUGAAACAGACUUCAAGAUGACGUUUUUCGUUUCAUUCUUCACUGCCUUUUUUUUUUUCCUACCCUAGUCUUUUUCUUAAAUAAAUAUAUUUUGUCUUUGAAAUCAUGUGUUAUUAAGGGUAAGCUCAAAUGACACCAGCAGGUAGAGGGCUCAUUGCUAGUCUGGAUCUGAAUAAUUGCAGUGAAAUGCUGUACAAAGCAAAUCACCUCAGAGCAUUUGUAUUCUGAGGUGGAAACUGGGACAUGUAUCCUGCAAAGCUAAAAAGAUCAGUGUGACGACUCGUAUCACUCAGAGAACUCAAGAACUUUCUCUCAGCCAUUGACCAGCCUUGCUGUAUCAAAAAAGACAGAUUGCUGAUAAUACUGAAUAAUUCCCAAAUUAUCAAAGGAGCCCUAAGGACCCUAAAUUAACAUGCCUAAGUUGGGGCAAGUUUUCAGAAGGGAUAAAUGCUCUGCAGACAACAGUGUAAUCAGGGACAGGAGAAACCAUAGAAAAACCUCAAAGAGAGAACAUGUUUCUUGUUGACCUCCAUUCAGGAGUUGUGAGGAAAGAGGAGGGUUCUGCUGGCUGCCUCUUGCUUUCUGGAGCUAUGCUUACAGUCUCGACUCACAUGCUUCACAGGCAGGUAAAGCAGGGUGCACAUGUUAACUUCCAUUUUUUUCCACUUUUGUGAGGCCCUCAAGAAAUGAAGUACAGCUGUAGACGUUUUGUCCCUGUUUCUCUCUGUUGCUGUACUACAUCUAAGGAGAAAUACCUGAGAGUACUUCCCAGGUCUGAACUCACCUUCUUGUCAUGUCCCCAUGCCAGACCACAAGAGCAAGGCCCACAGGGUGAUACAGAAUAACAGGAGAAAAAGACACAAGAUAUGACUGCUCAGAUACCUUAUAUACCAUUUCUAAGUUCAGCCAAGAAAUCUAGUUUCAACCCAGUUCAUUUUAUCUAGUAAAAUUAUUUUGGGGUAAAUCAGUGGAAGCACCAGCUCACCUAGGUAGCAGGUAAAAAAAAAAGAAAAAAAAAAAAGAAAAACAAGUUACUUAGUGCCUUCUCUAAUUCAAUAAACUCAAAGUUGUGUGUCUCAUUCAGUAAACUAAUGAGGUGUGUUAUUUCAGAAGGGAUUAUAUGAGAUUACUAUUUUUAAUCUAUUAAAAUGUGGCAAAUAAUGUGCCAUGCAGUCCUUUAAAUUAAUGGUAUGCUUUCAUCUGCAGUCACAUGUAUCAUGCUGAUCAUCUGUAUUUAUAUAGAGCAGAAGAGAAGAUGAUCUCUAGCUGAUAAAUACAUUACUAGCAGAAAAAAGUUAAGUUGGUAACCUUCAUAAAAAGACAGUUUUAAUGAAAAGUUAGUAGAAACUCCUAGUUAUCCCUUUGAAUGAUACCUACAGAAAUGGGCUCUCACACAAACAGAAACUGCAGACUGUAAAGGGACACUAUUAAUACAAUGCAUAAUUAAUCUGUAAAUUUAUUAUCAAAAGUAUUGCAAAGGUCAAAAUCUUUGUGAACUGCAUCACUUAAUGACAACACAACAGCAUUUUUACACAAACAUAUUUUUACACCUGCUAAGUGAUAGAAGUCCUUAAUCAUAAGAUCACAGGCUCAGUUGUAAAUUAGUUGUAAAAAAAACAAUACAUGAAUAAAAUAUUCUCUGACUGACACUUGGAGGUUCUAAGCUACACCAAUCCCUGGUCUGAUCCACUUAUAAAUUACUACUAAAUUUCACCUGAAAAAGUUGAAGUUUUAAGACAACACAUAUUAAAAAAAACCCCCACCAUAUCUAAUACUUUCUGAUACAAUGUUUAUACAAAGCUAAUGGCAAACGAUCAAAAGAAAAAUGAUGAUAAUGAGUUAUUUCUGUGUGCCUUUACCAGUUCAGUUUCUCCGAACCAAUUAACUUAAGAUACCAAUUAGGCAGAUACUGUCAUAAUAAAACAGCUAUGCUGCUCAUGGUACCUGCCUAACGAGGUCUGCCCAGGGAUUUAAAAUUUAACUCACUAAAAUAAUUCUUCUUCUAGAGUAAAAUAAGGCACAAAAGUACAUCACUAACAGCAUCUUUUUCUUGUAGAAACCAGUAUAACUGGAUGCCAGUGCAAGAACUGGCAAAAGGAAUGUAUAAAAAAUUCUCAUUUCCAUCAUCAAUCUAUUUCUGAAUUCGAUUGAGGUAUUGCCCUUCUAAUAUAAAACAUUUGAAGUUUAAUGCCCAGUAAUUCUAUUUUAGGAAGCAUUAGGCACUGUAACCCAGACUUUCAAAUAUGGAGAACAUCAUUAGAUCCCUUGGAUAUUUUUGAAGAAGUGUUAGGUCUGUUACUACCACUAAAAUUUUUAAAAAACCUAAAGUUACAUGGAAGUGGAGAAGAAAAAAAAAUCGUUAUCAAAGAUCCUGCUAAAACAUAUUUUUGACAUUGUGCACAACAGCAAGCGUGUAUGAGACAAGACAGCUCAAUGUUCCCACAAAAUUGCUUCAUUACAGAAGAAAAACAGCACAAACAAAAAAGAAAACAGUUUUCCAAAGACUGAGCCUCUUGCAGUAGAUGAUGUUUUUCUUUAUAGCAAGACCUUCACUUCUUAGUGGACAGGCAUUUCAUACUGGUUCUUCCAACUAUAGUACCCCAGUGAGAAGCAUCAAGUAAUACCAGAGAGCUUCAUCUUGUCUUCCCACUCCUGUCAGUGAGAUGUACCUGCCUGGUUAGCAAUGCAUCUGUGUAACUGAACUGCUCAACAGAGCGUCAAGAAGCAAGCUGAGGCAAGUCAUAGUGGGCAUGGAAAUGCCUUUUCAUUUAAAAUUUAUUGUGACAGGUACUCCUUAGUGAUUCAAGGAAGCCAUAAAUCUCUCCUGCCUCCUGGCACUCACCAGUAUGCUGCAACACCAACCUUGGCCCAGCUGCCCAGCUUGUUCUCUCCUUCUUACAUCUCUGUGAGCAUUCAGGUUACAUAUGGCAAUGCUACCUCCCUCUCAUGUUCCUAGUUAUGCCAGUACUCAUUUUAAAAACCCAUUUUAUUUUGGACUUGCAGAUUUCCCCUCUACCACCUCUGAAAAGGAUUUUUGCCAUACUCUAAAGCUGUUUAAAAUCUGCUUGUUUUAAGUUCACAAGAAUUGCAACCCUAAAAUGUGACCCACAGCAUCAAUUAAAGCUUUUCUUUAAAAGUGCCUACUUUUGCCAUGUCCUUAGGUAACCAUUCUUAAUUUUUUUCUGUUGCAAUAGUGGAUGGCAAUAGCUCUGGAUAAAUGGGUUAUUUGAAGUGUCAGAUGAACUGAAAGAACAAUUUCAUAGUGAAAGCAGCAAAUGCCCACAAAGUAGAAAACUGCUUUUCAUUACAUCAGACUUUUACAAACUAAAACAACUCUUCUUGAUAGAAACUGUCACAUUGAGGAAUAGAGUUUCUUUGGAAAGUCUGAAAAAGAAAACUUUGUGAUCUAUCAAAGAUGGUAAAACCAACACCUUUCCAAAUAUCCUUAUUUUUGCACUAUAAAUUUUUGAAAGAGGGCAAAAUAUGCAAAAUCAAAAAAUUACUAGGCAAUUAUUGAACUUGCGUAACAUUGUGUGAAACAUUAUGAAAAUUUUUUUCUAAGAGGAUCAUUUUAUGUUUUCUCUCUCUUUAGAGGUAAACACCUGAAAUAUUUUUAUGCUCAUUAUUAUCGGCAGAAAUUAUGCUGAUAAGUUGUUUCAACAGGAUUUUAUUUAACAGAUGCAACAAAAUUGGACCAAAUUCCCCUGCCAAAUAGGGAAAAAAUUCUCUUUCAAGUUAGUUAGCCUGGGUUUUUAAAGGGUAUUCCUCUGUCAUAAAAAAGAACUUUUGUCUAUCUCCUUCUAACAGUCGGCCUGGAGAAAAGUCACCUCCCUGCUUUCUAAGAAACCUGGUUCUCAUGACCUGAGAAAAUGCUACUCCCAACCAUCUUCUAGAGAAAUCAUCAAACCAAGAACUUCGGGGUUCCUGGCCUGGCCAUGCAGAUUACAAUUGAUAUAAUGUGGAAUUCAAUACAGAUGUGAAUACUCCUGAGCUUGCAACCUGGAAGGCCAUCUAGACAGAAAAAAACCCAACCAACAAACCACCAACCUCACAGGCACCUGACAACACAAUAUGCCUGCUAGAAGAUCUGAAGAAAACCUCCUGAGACCUGAUGGAAUCCCAGAUAAGAUUAAAUUUCUGGAGUCAGCUCAUCUAAAAUAUUAUACAAUAUGUUCAUGUAAUAGCCUCAACUGCUGCAGCUACAGGGCCUGAAGAUUGAAAAGGACAAGAAGAAAAGAAACCACUCAAACCAGACAGAUAGAUUAAGUAAUUAUAUACUGUCACUCAAAUUCUAAUGAAAGCAUUGAGAUUUCAAUCUUUUCACGUUUUUCUGCUUCACACAGAAAUACUAUUUUUUUAGGCUAACUCAGUAACCAUCUUCUGUAUUGUCAGAGAAUUUUAUCCUUGUUUUUCUAUUCUCAGUGUAUGUAUAGUGAAAAUAUCCUGAUAUAUCAAGGAUGGGCCUGAUACAUUUAUUGGAGAGUAGAUUCAUUCACUAUCAAAGAAAAAAGUCACAACAAAGUCUCACGAGAAUAAAAUCGUGAAUUUUGGUUGUAACUUCACAAAUGAGAAUGAAUGGUUAUAAGGAGGAAUUCUUCAAAUGGAUGCCCAGACAGGCUACACAGAAGUCUAAGCAGAGGCAGAAGUGUUUAUUCUCUAAGCUUCAGGCAUAUUGCCCAGAUAUAUCUGCCCCCACACAGAACUUUUGAUCAUUUUAUCAGAGCAUUAAGCCACUGGGCACACCACGAGCCCCAAGGAAACUGUGGGUUCCAGAGAAUCUGUUGAAAAUCUUUGCAUAUUUACACAAUCACAUGCACCCUGACCGGAAUAAUUUGGUCCAGAAAGGCGUCUGCUAAACAGAGCAUCUAAAGGAUCUAGUAUGAAAGAUUUUCUUUUUUUUUGCUGACACUGCCAUUCGGUACAGUGACAGCAUGUUAUACUGAUGCUCUGAAGCCCCAUUUCAGGUUCUUUUCUCCAGAAAGUUUUAAACGUGGAUACUUUUACAGUUGAUAUCUUGAAACUGGAAACUUGCAGAGUAUGCUACAUAGCUACCAUGUUACCAUGGACUUGCAAAAGGUGAAGCAUAUUCCAAGUGCACAGCACACCAGAGAGCCUCUUCAAAUCUCAGCAAAUGAAGCGGCCAGAGCUCUCAUUUUAAAAGGUCGGAGAGAUUGAUAAAAGGAGGCUCUGUCAAAAGGAGUAAGUGGUCUUCUGCUGUUCUGACUAGCAGCAGGAAUCCAUUAGGAAGAGCCUGAGUGUAAUUAAAAUGGAGACAUUAAAAGAAAUACAACAGUAGAAGCAUUUAGAAAAAUUAGGAAGUGCAGAAAUAGGUAGCCUGUAACAUAAUCAAAGGAGUAUAUUAGGUGGUUUUAGUAGUUUCUUGUGCAAUAUAGAUUAGAAAUGAUUGUAAACCAUGUAGGAAAGAGUGAGUUAUAUAAAUAGGUACUUCUCUCAUACCUUUUCUUAGUUUGUCAGCAGAAAAAUUAAGGUAUCAGUGCAAAAUGCAUCAGUAUCAAUGGCAUAAGUAAAACCAAAUUUACUGAAUAUAAGAAAUCUAAAGAAAAUUUCAGACAAAUGCUAGAAAAUCUGGAACACAGGUGUCAUGGUUUAGCAUAUUUGGGUUUUUAGUAAAGAGGCUCCAUCAGCCACGGAAGUGAUUCUCUUGCAAA